AAGCACGGCUUCGCAGCACGCACAUGGGGAGCUUGCUCCAAGAGAUGCUGCGAGGAAAGUCAACGUGCCUUGGUACAGAGAGUGCGAGUGGGAGACCGCAUGGCCAGUGCCAGACCUCCAGUGGUGAUGCUUCUCGUGUAGCUUUGGUGGCGGGCUCGGGCCCUACGCAGCAGCACAGACAUUCCGUGAGCGCUCAUGAUUGGAGCCCCAACAGAACGGGGCUCACUCUCC
rnacentral:RNase_MRP_RNA from 14 species